GACGAACGCUGGCGGCGUGCCUAAUACAUGCAAGUCGAGCGAAUCAAUGGGAGCUUGCUCCCUGAGAUUAGCGGCGGACGGGUGAGUAACACGUGGGUAACCUGCCUGUAAGACUGGAAUAACUUCGGGAAACCGGAGCUAAUACCGGAUAGUUUCUUUUCUCGCAUGAGAGAAGAUGGAAAGAUGGUUUCGGCUAUCACUUACAGAUGGACCCGCGGCGCAUUAGCUAGUUGGUGAGGUAACGGCUCACCAAGGCGACGAUGCGUAGCCGACCUGAGAGGGUGAUCGGCCACACUGGGACUGAGACACGGCCCAGACUCCUACGGGAGGCAGCAGUAGGGAAUCUUCCGCAAUGGACGAAAGUCUGACGGAGCAACGCCGCGUGAGCGAAGAAGGCCUUCGGGUCGUAAAGCUCUGUUGUUAGGGAAGAACAAGUACGAGAGUAACUGCUCGUACCUUGACGGUACCUAACCAGAAAGCCACGGCUAACUACGUGCCAGCCGCCGCAGUAACAC
rnacentral:rRNA from 1 species